rnacentral:tRNA from 2 species
GAGCCGCUAGCUCAGCUGGUAGAGCAUCUGACUUUUAAUCAGAGGGUCGAAGGUUCGAAUCCUUCGCGGCUCACCA